rnacentral:rRNA from 1 species
UACGUAGGGGGCAAGCGUUGUCCGGAUUUACUGGGCGUAAAGAGCGUGUAGGCGGCCAGGUAGGUCUGCUGUGAAAACUCGAGGCUCAACCUCGAGACGUCGGCGGAAACCAUCUGGCUAGAGUCCGGAAGAGGAGAGUGGAAUUCCCGGUGUAGCGGUGAAAUGCGUAGAUAUCUGGAGGAACACCGGUGGCGAAGGCGGCAUCCUGGACCGACAUUGACGCUGAGGCGCGAAAGCCAGGGGAGCAAACGGG